rnacentral:rRNA from 1 species
AACGAACGCUGGCGGCAGGCUUAACACAUGCAAGUCGAACGCCCCGCUAGGGGAGUGGCCGACGGGUGUGUAACGCGUGGGAAUCUACCCAUCCCUACGGAAUAACGCAUGGAAACGUGUGCUAAUACCGUAUACGCCCUACGGGGGAAAGAUUUAUCGGGGAUGGAUGAGCCCGCGUUGGAUUAGCUAGUUGGUGGGGUAAAGGCCUACCAAGGCGACGAUCCAUAGCUGGUCUGAGAGGAUGAUCAGCCACAUUGGGACUGAGACACGGCCCAAACUCCUACGGGAGGCAGCAGUGGGGAAUAUUGGACAAUGGGCGCAAGCCUGAUCCAGCCAUGCCGCGUGAGUGAUGAAGGCCUUAGGGUUGUAAAGCUCUUUCACCGGAGAAGAUAAUGACGGUAUCCGGAGAAGAAGCCCCGGCUAACUUCGUG